rnacentral:rRNA from 1 species
CACGUAGGGCGCAAGCGUUGUCCGGAAUUAUUGGGCGUAAAGAGCUCGUAGGUGGUUUGUUACGUCUGCUGUGAAAACCUAGGGCUUAACCCUGGGCCUGCAGUGGAUACGGGCAGACUAGAGGUAGGUAGGGGAGAAUGGAAUUCCCGGUGUAGCGGUGAAAUGCGCAGAUAUCAGGAGGAACACCGGUGGCGAAGGCGGAUCUCUGGGCCGAUACUGACGCUGAGGAGCGAAAGCGUGGGGGAGCGAACAGG